rnacentral:lncRNA from 1 species
GCUACUAUCUAGAUCUACUCUAGUUUAGUGAAGAGAGGAGAACUCUCAUCUCUAAUCCCUAGCUUUUGCUCUGUCUAUGAAUAAUGAAUAAUGAUCAAGGGGUGCCUCCUCCAGGGGCCAGGGGGUCUGGUUAUAUAGUCCCCUCAAGUGAACCGGGGCCGUCGGAUCAAACCGACAUUGAUUGAACGGUUAUUCUUGAUCCUUUAGGUCGGUGGAGCAUAAUCCGUGAGGUUGAACGUGAUUGGCCACUAUAGCAGGGCGGGCGCCCAAGGGGGGAGAGCGGGUGCCCUGCCCCGAGCCCGCUCGGCCUCCCGUUCAUUCCCGUGGCUUCUGGAGUCUUCUAGAUGGUAGAAAAUUGCGCGGCACGUUAAUAUCUCUAUGUAAACCCGACAUGUGGGCCUUUCCUCCAUAUUUCCUGAUAACCCCCUGCAGAAAUAGACAAACACCAAAACUCGUGGAAUUCUGUUAGAUAAAACCCUAAGUCUGGGUGUUGGUUGCAUUUGGAUCCUUUUCUUUAUUUAUUUGAUGAUUAUAUUUGGUACUUAAGGACCGUCAACAACUCCCCCAAGCUUACCUCUUGCUCGUCCCUGAGCAAGGAUGGACUCAAGAGUUUCUGCAAUGGUUUUAUGCCUUAAAGGUACACAUGUGUUUAAACAAGAUCUCAUCUCUAGGUUAGGGUAAACUGUUAAGAUUUAAAAUUACUCAUAUUACCUUCCACCAUGGGGCUUGCAACCGCACUUGUGUCUUGAGCAGUUAAAAGAUAGAACGGUGAAGUCAAGCACCAUGUCUCUUGUUCUUUGAUCAACUAUAGUUCUGGAGUUUUUGUAGAUUUUCAAAUAAAACUCAGAGAUUCCUUGUAUGACUCGCUCUAGUCUCUCUUUUGUGGUAUUUCUGGAUCCUUACCAAGGCAGUGAUGAUAUACGCCUUCUCUCAAAGUAUGUAGUAUUUAUGGUAUGAGGCAUAGUGAUAUUGCCUUCUCUCUCAUCCUACUCUAAUAAGGUUUUGAUAUCUGGAGCUCAUAGGUGGGAGACAACUAAUACAUACUUACAAGAUAUUUAUUGCAUAGUCAAACCAUGGAUCCAGAGAAACAAGUCAAUGAGUCAAAUCAAGAUGUGCAUGUGUGGCAGAUGAAUGGUGUAUGGUGAUGAUGGUGAUAAUGGUGAAAAUAAUGGUGAAAGUCUAAUUCUACUUUUGCUCUUUUGAGGGGAUACAUACCUUUCUUGCACUUUGAAGGUUUUUUUGAGGGGAAUGAGAUGCUCUAUAUUUUCUUUUUUUUCUCUUUUCUCUUAGGUCGGUAUCUUGUACCCCUAAUUCUACUGUCGGACACUUGUCCAUUUUUACCUCUCGUCUCACUUUUUCUUUUCUUCGAGGUUCUAGGCACUUGCCCCUUUUUAUUUCCUCGUAUUUUUCUUCUUCUUUUUUUUCAGAGCACUCACCCUCCUGGAAUAAUAUAGCAAGUGGUAGUAACCAAAAUAUCAAGAGCAUUUAUUUCACAGGGAAUAACAAGGAUAGGAUAAUGUUUUUGGCUAUUCUCUCCUGGAUAGGAGUAGAAUAAUUUUAGGUGAAUCUGGAGGUGGAAAGGAGUGGAUGUAUGUGGAUGCGUACUUCCGGAGUAGAAGCAGCAUGUAUGAGUGAACGUGCAAGUGAAUCUUGAUUUUAACCGCAUGACAAGCUCCUAAGGGUCUACACAGCUUGACCACACUCAAUGCUCAUAAGCAGUGAAAAGUAAAUGUAUGGUUCAUAGUCUAAUAAGCAUGUUUAUAUGGCUGUGGUAGGAUUUUAAACUCUCAUCAUACAGGAACUCAUCAUGCAACAUUUUAAAGAUUUUCAAGAUAAAAUUCUCCAGAAUUCUAGCAUCUCUAGGAACAGAUAAACAGCAGCUCAACCUUCCCAUAUCAUAUCCGUUAACGACUUAGACUUUAGAUCAAGUACUCUUCGCACAAGUUCAGGUUUAGAGCAAAUUUUAAUUCAUAACAGUCAUACCUAAACUUGAGAGAGAUUUCAAUUUUAAGAACUAGUCAUGGCAGAGCAACUAUUCAUUAUUUCCAUGUGAGAGCUUAUCAUAAGGGUUCAUAGCAAACUUUAUUUAUUUAUUUAUUUAUUUAGCAAACUAAGCUAAGAUAUUUAUAUAAGCACAAAAUUUUUAUUUAGGUUUUUAUGAUUAUGCAUCUUUUUAUUAUUUGAGUAAAGUAUAAAUGUGUCGACGAAAGCUAGUCGGCAGUCUACCUUGGGGUAUACCCACGGUAGUAGUUUAUCGGUAGACGGUGCGCAAACUACGAACUCGAUGGUGACGCAAGACACGGACAAGCUUUUUAUCCAGGUUCGGCCGCCGAGUUGGCGUAAUACCUACGUCCUGCGUCUGGUUGUAUUGAUUUGUGUUGAGAGAAUUGUGUGUCCUAGGGGGGUCCCUUGCCCCUCCUUAUAUAGUCUGGAGGGCAGGGUUACAGAUCUGGAAACUAAUCCUAGUCGGUUACAAUUGCCACAGAUAGUUCGAUAUCAAUUCCUAUUCUAACCGACUAGAAUCCCGCUUGAUCUCCACGUCUUGUUUCCUUGCGCGAAACUCCGAGCUGUCGGAUCAGGCCUUUGAACUCGUCUCGUAAUGGGCCAAGCUUCCUGGCCGAAGUCUAGCCGUAAGGGUAUAGGGGUUUAUACCCCCACAGCUAGUCCCAGAGCAUCAUGUAUUGUGAUGCAACACGCCGUCUUGAGCUUCUUCGAUCAACGAGGCUUGGCGUCUUCAAUAAGUGGGAA